GGGAGGCUUGAGGUGUCUUCAGGUGUGCCAGCUCAGUGCCUGCAGCUGCUGCAGUUCACAGAAUACCCUUUGAAAAGGUGCCAACAUCUCAUAUGGGUGCCAGUUCUAGUUUUGGUCGCUCCACUUUCAAUCCAAUUCCCUGCUUGUGGAUAAAAGCAGGAAAGCAGUAGAGGAUGGCCUCAAGUCCUCUGUACCUGUGUGGGAGAUCCAGUAGAGGCUCGAGGCUCUUGGCUUUGGGGGCUGGCACGAUUGUGCCAUUGGCUAAUCCUCUGCCCCCAAGCACCAGUUCAUAUCCCAGCUGCCCCACUUCCCAUCCAGCUCCCCGCUUGUGGCCUGGGAAAGCAGUUGAGGACGGCCCAAAACCUUGGGACCCUGCAGCCACGUAGGAGACCUGGAAGAAGCACCUGGCUUCAGAUGAACUCAGCUCUGGCCAUGGCGGCCAUUUGGGAAGUGAAGCAGCCAA